rnacentral:rRNA from 1 species
UACGGGAGGCAGCAGUGGGGAAUAUUGCACAAUGGGCGCAAGCCUGAUGCAGCCAUGCCGCGUGUAUGAAGAAGGCCUUCGGGUUGUAAAGUACUUUCAGUCGUGAGGAAGGUGUUAAGGUUAAUAACCUUAGCAAUUGACGUUAGCGACAGAAGAAGCACCGGCUAACUCCGUGCCAGCAGCCGCGGUAAUACGGAGGGUGCGAGCGUUAAUCGGAAUUACUGGGCGUAAAGGGCACGCAGGCGGUUAAUUAAGUUGGAUGUGAAAUCCCCGGGCUUAACCUGGGAAUGGCAUUCAAGACUGGUUAGCUAGAGUCUUGUAGAGGGGGUAGAAUUCCAUGUGUAGCGGUGAAAUGCGUAGAGAUGUGGAGGAAUACCGGUGGCGAAGGCGGCCCCUGGGACAAAGGCUGACGCUCAUGUGCGAAAGCGUGGGGGGCAAACAGGGAUUAGAUACC